GGAGAUAUGGCUCAACUGGUAGAGCACUUGCCUAGCAAGUGUGAGGUACUGAGUUCAAUUCCCAGUGCUUCCU
rnacentral:tRNA from 1 species